AUUUUCCAGUAGUCUAUCACAUUCACACAGAAGUUUUAUUUACAUAAGUUGUCAGUUAGCAAGGCUUCAAGGUCUUGCUUGGAGUGUCAUUUAAAGUUUGUUUUAUUUUUUGAGAUGAGAGACAAAAAAUAUCUCCUUUUCAGACUACUUGAAAUAUGUAAUUCCCAACUUGAGCAGUUAAUGUGCUUGACUUUUCCCUUGACAAAGAAAAUUGGAAAUUGUAUGGCUUGUUAUGAACUAGCCAAUAGAAUUGAAACUGCCACCCCUGGUUCUGGGAAAUAGUGGGGGUUUGCAAGCAAAUGGCAUCAAAAAUACUUUAAGCAAAUGGCAUCGAAACACCCAGGCCUUGGGAGACACUUUUGGGACUAUCUACAGUCCUCGGUGAAUGCUUGUGAGUCAAACCAUUGUAUUUUUACCUCAAAUUUUGUAUUUUGGUGACUGCUAGCUCCAUGAGGAGUAUAAUUGUCAGGCGUUAGACAAAGCAAAUACUAAAGUAGGGCGCAUUGCGUGUUAAAGGGUUUUAUUAAGCCAGUUCAUUAGGCAUAGUAAAAAUGUCUGGUGUUAGGUAGGCUAAAUUGGAAAAGUAGGGAUGUUUGCCUGAUUAAAGACUAUGCAUUAUUUCUUCUAUUAUCUACCUCAACGAUGUCAGGUCUUCAGCUUUUAGACUCGAUGUCCUGCCAAGCACAAAUAGAUAUCCAGCUGAAGUUUGGUUGACAAUAUUUAACAAUUAGGGAGAAUUACAGACCAGGAAAUAGUUCUAGCCUUUUUUGGAUCCUAGGCCAGGGGGGGGGGAUAUUUCUUUGAAAACACUGUUAUCAAAUUUAGG